GAGUUUGAUCCUGGCUCAGAACGAACGUUGGCGGCGUGGAUCAGGCAUGCAAGUCGACGAAUUCCCAGGGGGUAACUUCUCUGGAGGAAGUGGCGAAAGGGCAGUAAGGCAUGGUUUAACUUGCCCCGGACUUCGGAUAGCCUUCCUUAACGGAUGGGUAAUACCGAAUGCCGUGACCUGGGGGCAUCCUCGGGUCACGAAAGCUCAGGCGGUCCGGGAGGGGCUCAUGUGGUAUUAUGCUUGUUGGUGGGGUGACGGCCUACCAAGGCUGAGAUGCCUAGCAGGUGUGAGAGCACGACCUGCGCCACUGGCACUGUGACACUGGCCAGACUCCUACGGGAGGCUGCAGUCGAGGAUCUUCGGCAAUGGGCGAAAGCCUGACCGAGCGACGCCGCGUGUGCGAUGAAGGCCUUCGGGUUGUAAAGCACUGUCGAGGGGGAGAAAGGGCAACCUGAUCGACCCCUGGAGGAAGCUCGGGCUAAGUUCGUGCCAGCAGCCGCGGUAAGACGAACCGAGCGAACGUUUUCGGAAUCACUGGGCUUAAAGGGUGCGUAGGCGGGCCGUCAAGUCAGGGGUGAAAGCCUCCAGCUCAACUGGAGAAGUGCCUUUGAUACUGGCGGCCUCGAGGGAGGU
rnacentral:rRNA from 1 species